ACGGGUGAGUAAUGUCUGGGAAACUGCCUGAUGGAGGGGGAUAACUACUGGAGACGGUAGCUAAUACCGCAUAACGUCGCAAGACCAAAGAGGGGGACCUUCGGGCCUCUUGCCAUCAGAUGUGCCCAGAUGGGAUUAGCUAGUAGGUGGGGUAACGGCUCACCUAGGCGACGAUCCCUAGCUGGUCUGAGAGGAUGACCAGCCACACUGGAACUGAGACACGGUCCAGACUCCUACGGGAGGCAGCAGUGGGGAAUAUUGCACAAUGGGCGCAAGCCUGAUGCAGCCAUGCCGCGUGUAUGAAGAAGGCCUUCGGGUUGUAAAGUACUUUCAGCGGGGAGGAAGGUGCUGAGGUUAAUAACCUCAGCAAUUGACGUUACCCGCAGAAGAAGCACCGGCUAACUCCGUGCCAGCAGCCGCGGUAAUACGGAGGGUGCAAGCGUUAAUCGGAAUUACUGGGCGUAAAGCGCACGCAGGCGGUCUGUCAAGUCGGAUGUGAAAUCCCCGGGCUCAACCUGGGAACUGCAUUCGAAACUGGCAGGCUAGAGUCUUGUAGAGGGGGGUAGAAUUCCAGGUGU
rnacentral:rRNA from 1 species